rnacentral:lncRNA from 1 species
AAAUUGUCAUGGGGGAUCCGGGAAGAUUCAGACAGAUAAUUACUAACCUUGUUGGAAACUCUGUUAAAGUAAGUGCAAUUUCUGUUCUCUGUAUUCAAGCAAUAAAAAAACCAAAUCAUAUUGUUCAGCUUGUGUAAAAAUUACCUACUUGAAAUCUGUGUAUUGGAAUAAGUUUCAUCUAUCCGAGUAAUAGCGUUAUUUGGGUGUCUACUAGUGUUGCGCAUAUAUCUGAGACUUAUGAUGAUCUAAUUGCAAAUGAGUCUUUUAAUUACUAACCUUGUUGGAAACUCUGUUAAAGUAAGUGCAAUUUCUGUUCCCUGUAUUCAAGCAAUAAAAAAACCAAAUCAUACUUCUUGUUCUUGUUCUUGUUCUUUAUUUUCUUCCUCAAGUCUAGUGAACAAGAGAUUGCCAAGAUGUUUGCAGCUCUCAUUUUGUUUCAUUUCAUUAAAGUACUCAC